GUUUAUGUGUUUUGGUGGUUUUUUUAAUGUCAAUCGGGACUGGAGUUUGACUCUUUAGCAAAAUAACGAUGCCAUAGAGAUGAAUGCAGCGCCCUAAAUAAAAAAGACCACAAUCGGAGAUCUAUCUCAGUUCUGUCCGAAAUCGAUUCCCUCGAUAUUGGACGCUGAGAUAGUUCUCACAUGUUUUAAUCUCUGCUUGUUUUUAUUUGAUUUUAUGAAUGA
rnacentral:sRNA from 1 species